rnacentral:rRNA from 1 species
UUUUAGAAUUUAAUUUAAAGUCUAACCUGCCCAAUGAAAAUUUUUGAAUGGCCGCAGUAUUCUAACUGUGCAAAGGUAGCAUAAUCAUUAGUCUUUUAAUUGAAGGCUGGAAUGAAUGGUUGAAUGAAAUACUAACUGUUUCAUAAAAAUUAUUUAUAGAAUUUUAUUUUUUAGUCAAAAAGCUAAAAUAAAAUUAAAAGACGAGAAGACCCUAUAAAUCUUUAUAUUUUUUUUAAUAUUAAUUAUUUUGAAAAAUUGAAUUAUUAUUAAAUAAAUAUUUUAUUGGGGUGAUAUUAAAAUUUAUUAAACUUUUAAUUAAAAAUUUACACUAAUUAGUGAAAUUAUUGAUCCAUUAAUUAUGAUUAUAAAAUUAAGUUACUUUAGGGAUAACAGCGUAAUUUUUUUAGAGAGUUCUUAUUGAUAAAAA